UUUUUUUUUUUUUUUUUUGGAAAAUGUUUAGAUAUUUGGUGAUUUCAUGAAAGGCCCCAAAAGGGAAAACAGUGAUAAACUUGGGAUAAACAGACUUCCAGUGCAGCAGAUAUUUUCAAAAUACCUCUAUCCUCUACUGAGCAGUGUAAGAUUACCUUCUCACUCCUGGAACUUCAGUACAAUGGAAAAUUAACAUAUUUUACAGUAUUUAUUGAAUAAGAGAAAUUGCAAAUAAAAAUAUUUAAUAUUUUGAUCUGUGGGUAUAUCUAUGGAGAGAAGGACAGAGAGAAUGUUAAUUGUACUUUGAGAUAUUUCAUGGUUUCUUAAUGCCAAUUUAGCAGUGAGAGAUGUGGUUCUCCAUGAUUAAUCACUUCCUAGAACAAAAGUUUAGUGAAUUGCACACAGAAAACAGAAAGCUAGUGGUCAAAGAUGGUGCGCUGCUAAGCAUUCAUCUAGCAGAGCAGAGAGAGAUUCUUCAUGGCUGUCCUGUGAUUGAAAUUAUUUAUUCAUCAGGACAAUGUUGCCAUGAUGAGGUUACUGCUUAAGAGUGCAGGGAGCAGUUUGUAGAGCACUUCACAAUAUUGCAAUCAUUUCAUUUCAUUGUUUACCUUGGGUGCACUAAAUACUUUGUGACCAAUCCAUCCUUACAAUAAACACCUUAGACCUGUAUUUUUUCCUAGCAGUCUGCAGUGAGACUGAACCUUGCACUUCAGGAACAUGACUUUUCCAGAGGCAUGACUGGCCUCCUGAUCUAAUUUUCUAAGUAAUAGUUGAUUGGUCCCAGCUGGAUGGAUAUGGACAAAGUGUGCAGAUUUUUGGCAGAACACUCACCUCUGUUGCAUUGCAGUGCCCAUGAUGGGUAGGAAAAGAGUGGAUUGUGCAUUAAAAUCCUGAGUUAUAUUGUUUACUGGAAGUAAAGGGAAGACUUUGAACUAAAUAAUUAUCUUUAACAAGCAAGAUACAAGAGCUCCUAGAUGGAUAAUAAGUUUCUUAUUUAUAUGCUCACCCACUAAAAUGCAAUCAGCAAUAAGAAACUGUUCCUUUAAAAGACACUCAAGUACACUUGCUGCAACAUAAAAAUUUGUUCAGUUAUCCCAACACUUACUAAAGAAGCAAUUAGUUAUAUUUAAACCUGAUAAAGCAAAUCUUCACAGAUGAGAGUUUAUUUAUUUAUUACUAACUCCUUCAUAAUUAAUGGAGUUUCAUUUAGUUGAACCAGUGACUCAGUCACCCAGGAGUGCAAAAGCCAUCAUUCCUGCUGUGUUCUUUGCCUCUGGAAAGCACAAAGCUGAGAGGGGAAAACUCAUGCUGGCUAAUGCUGAUGCCAGUACAUGAGAAUGCUUAAAUAUAUGAAUAUUUGUGAGCAGAGCAGCCCCUGUGAGGAGGAAGGAAAUUUUUUUAAAAUGUGAAAUGCAAAAGCCCAGUGGCAAUCAAUGGGAAUAGGUAAUCAAAAGUAGACCAGGUUCAAAUGAGGAAAAAGGAGGUGUAAUUCCCUCAUCCAGUUAAACCUCAGGACAUACUUAUUCAGCAAACAACUGCCACUGCAUUAGGUUUUUUAAAGAGUCACACCUUUCCCUCACAAUGAGAUAAUGAUUCAUCCAUCAUGGGUAGAAGAGAAGGAUGUUAAACGAAAUCUGUUGCUUGACAAUUAAUGUGGAGCAGAUGAUACUUUUGGAAAGGCUAAUUUAGACAUUCAUCCUAAAUGUUCCAACCUACAAAUAUUAAUAAUGGAAUAGUUUAGUCUGAAAGAGACAUCAGAAGGUCUCCUGUUCAAACUGCUUGCUCAAAGAAGGCUUUUUCAUUAGAACAAGUUUCUCAGGUUCUUGUCCAGUCAAACUAUUAUUAUUUCCAUGGAUGGAGAUCCCAUUUUCCCUUCAAUGAUUCAGUUUAGUGAACACAAAGCUCAGGAGAGUGAGGGAAGAAAUUAACAAACAAAAGUGAGUAAAUUAUUUGCAUUUCCCAAGAUAAGGACAGGAUCAAUUUAUGAUUGAUGUGCUAAAGAGAGAGAGAGGGAAUUGAAAGUUCUUUUUCUUUCCCAUACAGCACAGCAGUCAGAAUAUGUCUUGGACCAGUUACUGGAACUUGAGAUGCAUGGAAAUGGCUGUCAAACACUUAAACAACAGCUGGGAUAGAGAGAGGAACAGACUUUUCUGCAUUUACACUAUGGAUGUAACAGAUGAGCAGAUGAGGUGUAUGCUAACUCUUGAGGAAAAUCUUUCUGAUAGCACAGACAGCAAAACUGGAGUUGUCUUAUUGUAGGUUCUCCUUCAUGGGUGUUCUCAAAUGCCAAUCUGUCAGGAAUGUCUUAUGCACAACUAAUUUGGCCUUGUGCUUGGAGGAUAGACACAGUGAUUUCCCAUUUCAGCUCCAUUUUCCCCAAAUCUGUGAUGGAACAAGAACUUUGAACCUCUUCUAAGGUCUUCUUGUGAACUCUGUGUCAAGGAUUAGAAAGUGGUACACCAGUUCAGCCCUACACAUGUAAAUGGAUAAGAUGAAUGCUUGUAAACCAAGCCUGUGAAAAUGAUAUACCUUAGAUGACAGUUUUAAGAGUAGAGAAAGCUCCAUUUAUAUAUUUAGUAAUGGCUGACAUAACAAAAAAAUACUGUUUUCAAAUGAUGUUCCCUUAAAAAUGGUGUACUCAACAAUACAAGAUGAUUUUUGAGGGCUAGAAAGCUCUGAUCAUUACCUGACCCUUGAUUUCAAAAACUUUGUGUCUUGGAUCUUAUUUAUAGAGCCAGUAUUCUUCAGUAGUGAAACAUCCUGGGACUUGACAGCAGUGGCUGAGUGAAAGUAAAGCAAUAUGGAAGAUUGUUGUUCAAAUCUCUGCACCAAAUCCUACCUUUAUAAUGAGUUAUAGCCAUUUUUUGGUCUCUGUUGAGCACAGCAAUUUGCACUCCUAAUGAAGAAGCACCCAGAUAACAAAACAGCCCUUUGAUAACAAAUCAGUGCCUUUGCCAGUCACAAGAGAGAGACUGAAGACUGAAUGGCCACGUAGAUUGACUAUGUGCAGCAAUUUCCAUAUGGAUGCAUCUGGUGUAGCCACAGUCUCUUUUUACCAGAGGAUCCAACACACAGUAUUCUGCAGAAAUGGGACUAUGAGAGUUCAUACUUGCAUUGUGUGUUCCCUGGAGAUCUAUACAAAUGCUUCAGUUGUUAACAACUAUUUUUUCUUAAACUGCUGUGAUUAAAACAGACCUACUGCAAUCAUAAUACUAUGCAAGUGUUAGCAAUGACUGGAGAAGUGCAAAUUAUAGUCCAGUCUUGUCCUGGUAGCCAAUGAAGUAGGUUCUUGAAAACUAUGAUAUUCACUGCAGGUGGAAAAGAUUUUUUGAAAACCUUCACUGUCCAGCUAAGGAUUAAAAAGCACUUUCAUAGGGAACUGAAAAUGUGUGAAAGCCAAAUUUGUACCCUGUGCUCAAGAAAAAGAUAUCAGCACCAAAACCUGUAGCACAGGUUCAGCAAUAUUUCAGUCCUGCACCUUCACUUAGAAAUCAAAUGUCAUCCAUAGGUACAAGUAUUCACAUAACAGCAUAAAUCAGAUUUACUCAAAUUGCCAUGUUUCUAGGAAAUGAUAUGUGACUUUGGGGGAUCUCUAUUUUGAGCUAGAGGGAGAAGACAUGAAGAAGACCAAGGAUUUGCUUUGCAAUUAGAAAGCAAUGUAAGUUGUGCUUUCUGUUUCACCAGAAUUCAAAUGUGUGCAAGUGAAGUUUGUAAGGAUGGGAAUGGUGUUGAUGAGUGUAUGAAUGAAUGAAAUGCCUUACUCUUGACAAAAAGUGUAUGUAUUCAGAGAUAGGAUUGAAUUCCAAAAAUUUUGUAUUGUUAAGUUUUGCACUAAAUCUCAUGUUGUGGUUACAUAUAGAACAGGGAGAAGGCAUUGUAAAGGUAGGUCAGAACUGUAUGAACUGUUUGCAUUAUUUAUUUAUUUAUUUUAAAUCUCAAUGCUUAGAGUGUUUAUAUACAAGAAUAUCUCUAAUUGUUAAGAAAUUCAUUGCAACUACCCAGGCAGGAUAGUGCAGGACCACACUUCUAUCUUUACCACAGUUUUGGUCACAGUAAUAUAAUCUUUGACUAAUGCCACAAACACACAGAAUAUAUGGUAUUUCCUAUUUCUGAAAAAUAAGAGGCAGGGAAUUGCUCAUUGUAACAAUGUUUAUAAUAUUCAUAACUUGCAACAAGAGAGGGUGUUUUAUCACAGAAGUAGAUUUGUCAUUGGCACCCUGCAAGAGAGAAUGCACUAAACAUGUUUCUGCUGGCUUUCCUGGUCUUUGACACUUCUCUUUAUCAGUCAGCAUAAAAACAUUCCUAGGAAUAGAGGGUUCCUUUAUUUUAGGUCUGACAAAUGUCACUUAUUUAUGGAAAGAGUUUGGGAGAGACUAAGGAGCGGUAUGCAUGCAUACCCCUCUUUUGGGAGAAUCUUGAAUAAGAACAUUGUUUUUAAUAAAAUGUGUGUUGGAACUCAAAUCACACACUCACAUUGUUGUCCCAUCAGCGAAUAAAGCACAUGGGGGAUUUGUGUUCCUGCUGAGUCUCCCACCUCAAAGGAUGGAUGGAAGUUUUCCCCCUCUUCAAUUUUUACCUAUUCUUGGCCCCUGAAAAUUCUUCACUGUUACUGUGCUAUGGCAUGGUGGCAGCUCAGUCAGAGUUGCAGGACACUUUGUAAGCAGAAAGACAGAAAAAAAAUAGUGAUUCCUCUCCCAAAGAGCAGAAAAAUAAAGGCAGAUAGAAGACAGCAGACAGAUACAGUCAGAUGUGGGGCUAAAAUGAAACAGUAAGAAAAUGUUACAUGCUGUGACAACCAGCAAUUCCCAGCAGACCUGCAUCAUAAUUGCUGUGAAAUUUCUCAGUUCUUGCUGUUAAAGUAGAAAAACAGCAAAAGAAGGCUUUAAAGGUGGCAGUCUGUUGGCUUUGCUUGUGUUUUGAACUUCUGUUUCUUCUAAGGCGAACAUAAGGGUCCCAAGAACGUUACUCCUUCAAAACGUUACAAGGAAGAGAAGGUAUGGGUUGACCUGGGGUGGAAAUCAGUGUUUAUUUUACACCAUUUAUCAACAAGUCUGCAUGUAAAUGAGGUAGAAAAUGAGGUUUAUCUUAUCACCUGGUUUGUGCUACCCAGAACCUCUCCACCUGUAUCUGGGACAAGUUUUGGGUCCAGCUGGAGGGUACUUCAUCUGCUCUAAGCAGUAUAUUAUACCAGCUGUUCUGUAAAAAUUGUUAUGUAUAUUUGGGAGACUGCUAUAUUUUUCUUCUGAGAGUUAAAGUUUAAAUCAGUUAACCUGAAAGUCUUCCUUUUAAAAUUGAUAUGAUCUGCAAAUUCUUUUCCACUGACACUUCUAGAAAAUGUGGAAUGUUUCUACUAUGCAAUUCUUCAACCAUUUCCACAAUUUUGCUGUUACCAUUUCCCUAAGGGGAUUUGAUUUGUUUGUUUAUUUCAAAAGAAUCCUAUUUUUCUAGCAUCCCUUAUACCUCCAGCAACCUUUAGAAUUUCUUAUCUACCUUUGCAGUUUUCCCUCUGCUGGUGACAGUAAUCUCAUUAUAAUCUAUUCCAGCCUGCAGAGAAUUCUAAUGAAAUCUCUACAGUGUGCCCCAGCACACUUGUAAUAAAGGCAGGGUGACUCACACACUGAAGUUUCUAAGCAGUGGUUGAGGAGGGAGAGGACUGGAUAAUUCAGAGAACUGGUAAGGUUAUCAUGACAACUAUUUCAGUUUCAAAUCUGUUGAGAAGGAAUCAAACUGCUGUGGGUUGCUGAUUAAUUGUUGGAUAAUGUGAGAUUUUAUCCCUGUAUUUCCAGAGUGUUUUCAUCCAAGAAUUUCAAAACUUAAUAUGCGUGUUCUGUCACAGGGAACAGAAAGAAACACACAGAACUGAGAGGAAAAUAUACUGAGAAGAUCUUCGUAACAGACUGAAAAAGACUGUGAUGCAGCGUUGUGUCAAGCCAGCAAAAAAUUUGUGUGUAUUUCUUGAUCUUACACUGCUAACUAAUUAGGCUUAAUAUGUCCAGUGUGCUUCAAAUGAGGUAUUAAGUGCACUGCAGAAUAUGUUUCAGCUCUUAUAACCAGUAGGAAUAAUCCUGUUAAGGUGAUUGGGCCAAUUCCCUGGGUGACAUGCAUAACGCUGGUAGUAAUUCCAGUAUGCUGAAUUACAUUUCCUUUGUACAUGGACAUGGCCAUAUUUUUGUAAACCUAACACAAAACAAAAUGAGCAAGGCAUCAACCUAAAAGAAUAUCCUACUUGCUUCAUAUUACUAUAUUUUCAUAAUUGAAAUAAUAUCUACUAAACUAUAUUAAUAAAUUAAAUCAAGCUUAGUAAUGUUCCUAAGGGGAAAAACAUUUAGCUAAUAUUCACCAUUUAUUUAGCCAAUUUAUUGGCUUAUAUCCGUGUGUCUUCUAACAUUCAGAGUAUUAGCAAUUUCUUUUGCUGUUUAAAUUUGAUUAGUUUAUGCUAUUUAAAAUUUCUGUAACAAAAUAAAAUACAAUACCUGUAGCUCAAAACUAUCAAGCUACAGAAAAUACUUUUUACUUUCUCAAGUCUUAUCAGUACUGAAUGAGGAGCAUUUGUCCUAACUAAUUAGGUACUUAGGAAUAUAGAAACAAGGAUUAUAUUUUCUAAGAGAUAAAUAAAACCACAUCUAUCUAUCUGUCUAUCUUCUCUUAUUUUAUACAAAGCUACAUUUACAGAUCCAUAGAGAUCUUCUGUAGCAGAACAAACUGUUGUCCCCAUGCCCCAAACCAAUGAGGACAGUGCAGAAAUAUUUGAUAGACAUGACACCAAGUAGGUUCUUGCUAAACUAAUAAAAAUUUCUUUGUGAGAUGUUGGCAAGGAAUGAGAUUAUUUAUCUUCAAUAACACAGCUAACCUAACCUUCUUUUCCCAUUUUGUGGUCCCACUACUGCAUUGAUGAUACUGGUCCCAUGCCAACACCUUCCCAGUCAUCUUCUGGCCCCAGUCACUGUCCUUUCACUGACCUGCAGGUAACUUUAAAACCACCCACUGACCCAGAAUUGUGUCUUAGUCAUUUUACAUUAUUUCUGAAACAACAGGUUUGCAUAAAUUGAGAUAUGGGCAAUAGAAAUUUUUUUGGCCAUGAUUGUGUAAACAAGAGGUAGCUUUUCAUUUUUCUGGAGGGAAAAGUCAGCUUGGAUGACCCUGAAAGCAGGUACGUUCUCAGCAACCCAGCAUGCUUGUGAUGGUUAAUCCCUGCUCAUAGGACUUUAAAAAAUAUGUAUAAAGGGUAGGUAUUUCCUCCUCCAGUACUCCUGUGGCAGUGUGUGUGGCAUAAGCUUAUCAUUUCAAAAGCCUUUUAAGCCUAUUGCCCAUUGGGAAUCUGUUAGUAAUUUUAGGAGUGACUAGGGCACAUUCUUGCCCCAAGUUACCAUCAAAUAUUAUUAAACUUGAGAGUUUUUCUCCUUCACAAGCCCUUCUCUCCUCACACCACAUCUGAUUUCAUCCCAGGUCAAUCAAGUUAUCAGAUCAAUGUCUUUGGUAAAGACUUCUAGCACCUUUCUUGUUUUCUCUUAGUUUAUUCUUGUUUCUUUCUGUGGAGGGCAAUUUCUAAUUUUCAUCAUUACUCAUCUAUAAAUAUGUCUCACUUUUUACUAACCUGAUUUCACACUUGUGAAAUGAAGACUGCAUAAUCACCAUAAAAAGCUAGAACCAACUUAACUGGAGAUAUUAAGGUUGCUCUUAGGGACCUGAUUACAAGCUUGCUUAGAUCUAAAGCUAUUUUAAAUUGCUUCACUGCUGCAAAACGUUUUUAUGUUCUAAAUACAUUUUGUGCUGGUGUAGCUUAUGGUUGCAUAACACCCUUCACUCUUUUGCCAGUGACAUGUGGGCAAAAUUGGAUCCACUUCCAGAUCCACAUCUUAUUAAUUUCUAAGCUGAACUCUGUAAUAGUUUUGCCUUUAGAUAUAGACUUUGAGGUUUCACCCUUAAAUUACAAACUAUUCAGAGUAUGGGACAGCUAUUCCUAGUUUAAAAAGAUGCUACGAUCUGCCAUUUACAAAUAACACAGGUUUAACCAGAUAUUUGGCUUGAAGGACAUUACCAGGAAUCUAGAUAGCAGGAACAAAGCAAUUGUUCCUGAUGGCACCACUUGCCUUUGUAGUAAAUGGUGAAGUUACAUUUGUUUUAAAAUAGAGACAUAACAUUAGAAUCACAUUUUCAGUACAGAGAAGGGGAUCCAAAAUAUUCUUGGUAGCUCAGUGAAAGACCAUACCUUGCAGUUGUGCUCUGCAUUCCACCAUCCUCUCAGGUGACUCUAUUUUGCCUUUUAAGUCUUGACUGUGAUGUGGUUAAGUCCAGUACAAAGCAAGGACUUUACUGAAAAAAAUUAUUUUUCAUUCUAGUCAGAGGACCCUAUGUUCUCUCAAGAAAGGCUCUCACUGCUGGUGAUCAGUAUUUGAAAUGCAGUAACUAAUUUUGGUAUAUUUCUUUAGUGAUUUUUUUUUUUUUUUUAAACAAUGGUUUCAUCUUAUUAUAAACUCAGUGGAAAAAUGUCCAUGUCACCAUAAAGCUCCAGUCCCUGCAGUUCAGAUCACAGAAAUAGUCAAUGUUCCCUGUUUUUGCAAAUGG
ensembl:lncRNA